AUUGAACGCUGGUGGCAGGCCUAACACAUGCAAGUCGAACGAGUGGCGGACGGGUGAGUAAUGUCUGGGAAAGUGCCUGAUGGAGGGGGAUAACUACGGGAAACGGUAGCUAAUACCGCAUACCCUCGGAAGUGCCCAGAUGGGAUUAGCUAGUAGGGGGGGUAAAGGCUAACCUAGGCGACGAUCCCUAGCUGGUCUGAGAGGAUGACCAGCCACACUGGGACUGAGACACGGUCCAGACUCCUACGGGAGGCAGCAGUGGGGAAUAUGGCACAAUGGGCGCAAGCCUGAUGCAGCCAUGCCGCGUGUAUGAAGAAGGCCUUCGGGUUGUAAAGUACUUUCAGCGGGGAGGCGUUACCCACAGAAGAAGCACCGGCUAACUCCGUGCCAGCAGCCGCGGUAAUAC
rnacentral:rRNA from 1 species